AGCCUCGAGGUGUGUUACACAUUAGAUUGCAAAUCUUAAGUGGCAGAAUAACGUCUGCCGGGGCUU
rnacentral:tRNA from 1 species